GAUGAACGCUGGCGGCGUGCUUAACACAUGCAAGUCGAACGGAAAGGCCCAAGCUUGCUUGGUUACUCGAUUGGCGCACGGGUGUGUAACACGUGGGUGAUCUGCCCUUCACUUCGGGAUAAGCCUGGGAAACUGGGUCUAAUACCGGAUAGGACCUCAUUUUGGAUGGUGUGGUGGAAAGUAUUUCGGUGUGGGAUGAGCUCGCGGCCUAUCAGCUUGUUGGUGGGGUAAUGGCCUACCAAGGCGUAGACGGGUAGCCGGCCUGGGAGGGUGUACGGCCACAUUGGGCCUGAGAGACGGCCCAGACUCCUACGGGAGGCAACAGUGGGGAAUAUUGCACAAUGGGCGCAAGCCUGAUGCAGCGACGCCGCGUGGGGGAUGACGGCCUUCGGGGUGUAAACUCCUGUCGAUAGGGACGAAGCGCAAGUGACGGUACCUGGAGAAGAAGCACCGGCUAACUACGUG
rnacentral:rRNA from 1 species